UACAGAGGGUGCGAGCGUUAAUCGGAAUUACUGGGCGUAAAGCGCACGUAGGUGGCGACGUAAGUCGGGUGUGAAAGCCCCGGGCUCAACCUGGGAAUUGCAUUUGAGACUGCAUAGCUAGGGUGCGGAAGAGGGAAGCGGAAUUUCCGGUGUAGCGGUGAAAUGCGUAGAUAUCGGAAGGAACACCAGUGGCGAAAGCGGCUUCCUGGUCCAGCACCGACGUUCAGGCACGAAAGCGUGGGGAGCAAACAGG
rnacentral:rRNA from 1 species